rnacentral:rRNA from 1 species
AUUGAACGCUGGCGGCAGGCCUAACACAUGCAAGUCGAGCGGAGCGGCGAACGGGUGAGUAAUGCCUAGGAAUCAGCCUGGUAGUGGGGGAUAACGUCAGGAAACGGGCGCUAAUACCGCAUACUAUCAGAUGAGCCCAGGUCGGAUUAGCUAGUGGGGGGGGUAAAGGCCUACCAAGGCGACGAUCCGUAACUGGUAUGAGAUGAUGAUCAGUCACACGGGACCUGAGACACUGUCCAGUCUCCUCCGCGAGGCAGCAGUGGGGAAUAUUGGACAAUGGGCGAAAGCCUGAUCCAGCCAUGCCGCGUGUGUGCAGAAGGUCUUCGGAUUGUAAAGCACUUUAAGUUGGGAGGCGUUACCAACAGAAUAAGCACCGGCUAACUUCCUGCCAGCAGCCGCGGUAAUAC